UACGGGGGGAGCAAGCGUUGUUCGGAUUUACUGGGCGUAAAGGGCGCGUAGGCGGCCACUGCAAGUCGACUGUGAAAUCUCCGGGCUUAACCCGGAAAGGUCAGCCGAUACUGCGGGGCUAGAGUGCAGAAGGGGCAACUGGAAUUCUCGGUGUAGCGGUGAAAUGCGUAGAUAAUCGAGAGGAACACCUGCGGCGAAGGCGGGUUGCUGGGCUGACACGUGACGCUGAGGCGCGAAAGCUAGGGGAGCGAACGGG
rnacentral:rRNA from 1 species